rnacentral:rRNA from 1 species
UACGGAGGGUGCAAGCGUUGUCCGGAAUCACUGGGCGUAAAGGGCGCGUAGGCGGCUCAUGAAGGCUGUGGUGAAAGUCCGGGGCUCAACCCCGGAACGGCAUCCGAUACGGGGCGGCUCGAGACCGAGAGAGGUGAGUGGAAUACCCAGUGUAGAGGUGAAAUUCGUAGAUAUUGGGUGGAACACCGGUGGCGAAAGCGGCUCACUGGCUCGGUUCUGACGCUGAGGCGCGAAAGCGUGGGGAGCAAACAGG